AUGCGGCCACUAGGACACAUCUUCAUGCAUGGAAUCACUAGGGUGGCGGACCUGCUAUCGGAGGGUGGUGAUGGCUGGAAUCAUGCAACUGUUGAUGCAAUGUUUUCUGCUGAUGAUGCUGAGGAUAUUAAGCAAAUUCUGAUGGGUGGGCAUGGGGCUCAUGAUCUCCUAGCUUGGAACUUUACAAAAUCUGGAGAGUUCAACGUUCGUUCUGCCUAUCAUCUUGCUAUGAGUUUACGGCGUGCGAAAGCUGGCCGACCAGAAGGUUCGUCGUCGGUACACACUCACAGGAAUUGGCUGGCUUUCUGGAAUACCCAUGUCCCAAAUAAAGUUAAAAUUCAUGUGUGGAGACUCCUGUCUAAUGGGCUGGCCACUGGGUCAGAGUUGCAUCGCCGGGUAUUAAGCCGGGCGUUUUCUGCGCAACGUGUGGGAGGGAAGAGACACUGGUCCACCGAUUCUGGGGCUGUCCACACUCGAAGGUUUUCUGGCAAGAACUGGCUAAGAAAAGGAGCAUUCCUCCUUUGGUCCCGCCUGAAGAGAUUGAAUCAAACCAUGCACUGGGACGGUGGCUUCGGUCCUGGAUAG
rnacentral:rRNA from 1 species